CCCAGGGGGCUGUCAGAGAUACGAGCUCAGCGAGCAGGGUAAUGAACCCGCGAAGUCCAGAAAGAAUGAGGACGUGUGAACCCUCUUUCCAGAGAACUUAGGGAAUCAGCACCCCGGCAUCCUUUGCAACAAGCCAGCCACCUGGCCCCUGCAUCUCUCCUGAGUCACCAGUGGAACAACUUCGCUUCCUGCUGGAAAAGUAUGUGAUGAAAAGCUUCCUGCCGUGUUCAGUUACCCUUUGGAGGAGGCCGGAAAGGGGCCAUUAGCAGCGCGACUCCAGAAUUCAGGCAAGCCCUGGAGGACCACCCCGGGGGCUGCCAUCUGGCAAAAGUCAAGGUGGCUGAGGGCACGGCUGAGCGGGACACAGAUGUGUUGUCGACUUUACAUCCCGUGGCCCAAGUGGGAUACACUCCCCUUCACGUGAGUCUUCAAAGGUCAGCCUGGGGAACACCUGUUUCUGCACACCCCGCAGGACAGUUAUGAACCGAAUCUCUAAUCUUGCAAAGUCGCCGUGGGCGUGACCACUUCUGGGCAUCCUCUGGCCUCGCUGGGUGGUGAAGGUAGG